AGCAGCCGCGGUAAUUCCAGCUCUAAUAGCGUAUAUUAAAGUUGCUGCAGUUAAAAAGCUCGUAGUUGAAUUUCGGGACCAAUAUGUCGGUCGUGCCUCGGUACGUACUGGCAUCGUUGGUUUCUCCCUUCUGACGAACCAUGAUGUCAUUUAUUUGGUGUCGUGGGGAAUCAGGACUGUUACUUUGAAAAAUUAGAGUGUUUAAAGCAGGCUCACGCUUGAAUACAUUAGCAUGGAAUAAUGAAAUAGGACGUUUGAUUCUAUUUUGUUGGUUUCUAGGAUCGACGUAAUGAUUAAUAGGGAUAGUUGGGGGCAUUAGUAUUCAAUUGUCAGAGGUGAAAUUCUUGGAUUUAUUGAAGACUAACUACUGCGAAAGCAUUUGCCAAGGAUGUUUUCAUUAAUCAAGAACGAAAGUUAGGGGAUCGAAGACGAUCAGAUACCGUCGUA
rnacentral:rRNA from 1 species